rnacentral:rRNA from 1 species
AGUGAACGCUGGCGGUAGGCCUAACACAUGCAAGUCGAACGGCAGCACAGUAAGAGCUUGCUCUUACGGGUGGCGAGUGGCGGACGGGUGAGGAAUACAUCGGAAUCUACUUUUUCGUGGGGGAUAACGUAGGGAAACUUACGCUAAUACCGCAUACGACCUACGGGUGAAAGCAGGGGAUCUUCGGACCUUGCGCGAUUGAAUGAGCCGAUGUCGGAUUAGCUAGUUGGCGGGGUAAAGACCCACCAAGGCGGGGAUCCGUAGCUGGACUGAGAGGAUGGUCAGCCACACUGGAACGUGGACACGGUCCAGAGUCCUACGGGAGGCAGCAGUGGGGAAUAGUAGACAAUGGGCGCAAGCCUGAUCCAGCGAUACCGAGUGGGUGAAGAAGGCCUUCGGGUUGUAAAGCCCGUUUGUUGGGAAAGAAAAGCAGCAGGUUAAUACCCCGCUGUUCUGACGGUACCCAAAGAAUAAGCACCGGCUAACUUCGUG